rnacentral:rRNA from 1 species
ACUCCUGCGGGAGGCAGCAGUGGGGAAUUUUGGACAAUGGGCGAAAGCCUGAUCCAGCAAUGCCGCGUGAGUGAAGAAGGCCUUCGGGUUGUAAAGCUCUUUUGUCAGGGAAGAAACGGUGAAAGCUAAUAUCUUUUGCUAAUGACGGUACCUGAAGAAUAAGCACCGGCUAACUACGUGCCAGCAGCCGCGGUAAUACGUAGGGUGCAAGCGUUAAUCGGAAUUACUGGGCGUAAAGCGUGCGCAGGCGGUUUUGUAAGUCUGAUGUGAAAUCCCCGGGGUCAACCUGGGAAUUGCAUUGGAGACUGCAAGGCUAGAAUCUGGCAGAGGGGGGUAGAAUUCCACGUGUAGCAGUGAAAUGCGUAGAUAUGUGGAGGAACACCGAUGGCGAAGGCAGCCCCCUGGGUCAAGAUUGACGCUCAUGCACGAAAGCGUGGGGAGCAAACAGGAUUAGAUACCCGAGUAGUCCCAUG